rnacentral:rRNA from 1 species
GACGAACGCUGGCGGUGUGCUUAACACAUGCAAGUCGAACGGUAAGGCCCUUUCGGGGGUCCACGAGUGGCGAACGGGGGAGUAACACGUGAGUAACCUGCCCUCAUCUCUGGGAUAACAGUCGGAAACGGUUGCUAAUACUGGAUAUGAGCCUGCAAGGCAUCUUGUGGGUUGGAAAGAUUUUUUGGUUGGGGAUGGACUCGCGGCCUAUCAGCUUGUUGGUGAGGUAGUGGCUCACCAAGGCUUCGACGGGUAGCCGGCCUGAGAGGGCGACCGGCCACAUUGGGACUGAGAGACGGCCCAAACUCCUACGGGAGGCAGCAGUGGGGAAGAUUGCACAAUGGACGGAAGUCUGAUGCAGCAACGCCGCGUGCGGGAUGACGGCCUUCGGGUUGUAAACCGCUUUCAAUUGUGACGAAGCUUUUUGUGACGGUAGCAGUAGAAGAAGCACCGGCUAACUACGUG